CAGCGGGAGGCGGCGCAGGCCGCGGCGGGGCCUGCAGCGGCCCGCCGACCCCGCGAGGCGGCGGAGCGGGCCCCGGGGCGGCUCAGCCUCGGGCUCGGCGGCCCGGGGCGGCCGGGGGCGGCCCCUCGGCUACUUACCGGGGGGAAAGAGAGCCGGGAUCCCGGGGCCCCGGGCCGGACCGCGGAGAUGCCCCAAACUGACACGGCCGCCAUCUUGGAGACAGCACCUGAUUGGUGGAACCUGAAGUAUACCAGACCGCAAGCUGCAAGGGAGUCUGAGGACCACCCUUUUUAGCCUCUCUGUAUUUGCAGUACAAGAAGGCAUCCUAGAAGGAGGUUGAGGUAAGUAUUGAAAGACAAACUACCGUAUCUGCCACAGCACGUGAACUUUUUGUUCAGGCAAGAUGAGAAUGUUAAUCUACUCGAGUGGAAGUGUUUUAUAGUUACUCUGAAAAAAAAAUGGGGCCAGAACACUCCACUCCACCAGCGUCCAUUAUCAUGAAGAACAUAGAUUCUGGCACAUGGUAUUUUGUCACUCAUUGUUUUAAUCAGUCAUGUGAACAUUAACAAUACUCUCCUGCAAUUUCGUUUUCCCCGUGGAAAGUGUCUCCCUGAGAAGCUGCGAGCUCUUCAAGGGUAGACUGUGUAUUCCCAAAAUGCUUGAACAUAGUUAUAAGUAUACAGUGGAGGUUGGGUAAGAAUUAUUAAGCAUUUUUAAAAAGUAAGUUUAACUAAUCAUCAGAAGUAGUCAGGAAUAUUUAUACCCACUUCUCUUUAGCCAGGAUCUAAGAGUCUUUUCCUAUCUCAAGAUCAUUUCCUAAUUCCAUAAUUUAGAAAUGUUGUGGGACCUUUAAUAUACCAGUUGUUGGCAUUGAAUCUGGACUGGGAAAUAUAUUGAGGGUUAAGAGUUUAAGAAUUUUAAAAAAUUCAUCUUAAAUAUGUACCACUAUUACUCUAUUUCCACCAUGGUGGGGGUGGGGCCAGAAUUACCCUUCUAACUGAAAAAACACCCAGCAACAGAAACAGACAAAAUAUACGAAACAUUGGUUUUCAAGGCCCUGGACAUUAGGCAACGGGCAGUGCUCCCUGUGAGAGAGGAAACAAAUGAGGCGACCACUGCCCUGCCUCGGGUCCCUGCCUGAGUGAGCUCCCGGUAGGGCCGGGCACAGGGAGGAGGAGCUGAGAGAGAGCCCAGGGCAUUCCCUGGGUCGAAGACGGUGCUGAAACUUGAGGAAGACCAAGGCGAGUAGCGCUCUCAGGACAGAGUACCAAAGAGGAGAGAGCUACACAGAGAGAGAACGCCAGAGGUCUGCAAAGGGUCCUCCUUGAGUCUUCAGCUGAGUACCUACAGCUCAGGUAUGAGAGGAAACUCUUUGAGGUUGGGAAAGAGCCAUCCAAAAGAGUGAAAGGUGACAGUGCCCAGGGCUCACACAGGACCUGGACUAGUGUCUAUUUCCACCGGCCAGAGCAGAACCCUACUGAGUCCCAGGCACUGGGUGAUCAGAGAGGUGUGGCCUCAGCAGUAGUGAAUAAUUAGCCCUAGACUGAGCACUGCUCCAGACCCUCCUAACAAAUCGUAACAGCAAGACGCAAAGGAUCAAACUGCUUCCAACCAACCUAACUGCGUCCCAGAACAAGGCUCAAGAAUAUUUAUAGGGGGGCUGGCCCGGUGGCAGAGUGGUUAAGUCCUCGCGCUCCGCUGCAGGCGGCCCAGUGUUUCGUUGGUUCGAAUCCUGGGCGCGGACGUGGUACUGCUCAUCAAACCACGCUGAGGCAGCGUCCCACAUGCCACAACUAGAAGGACCCACAGCGAAGAAUAUACAACUAUGUACCAGGGGGCUUUGGGGAGAAAAAGGAAAAGAUAAAAAUCUUCAUUAAAAAAAAGGAAUAUUUAUAGGAAAACAAAAAUAUCCAGCACCCAAGAAGGCAAAAUUCACAAUGUCAGACAUUCAGUAAAAAAAUUACCAGUCAUGCAAUGAAGAAAGAAAAUGUGACCCAUAAUAAGGAGAUAAAUAAAUCAAAACUGAUGCAGAACUGACAGAGAUGCCAGAAUCAACAGACAAGGACGUUAAAACAAUUAUUAUAACUGUACUCCAGAUGUUCAAAAAGUGAAGUAGAGACUUUUAUUGGCCUUCUUUCCUUCCUUCCCUCCUGAAUAAUUCAGUCCAAAGCCAUCAGUGGGGCCAAGCAGGGUCAGUACCUGUGAAGGGGCCUGGAGCUGAGGCUGGGGCAUGGUGGUGUCAGAGCCCUGGCGGGGUUAGAAGGACAUUUGCAUGGUGGGGUAUCAGUAAUGGGAGAUUGGUUACACACCUGGGGUUGACUCAGAACAUAAACAUAUUGAGGAAAAUGGGAAUCAGCUUUCUCAUUAUCGGAAAAGGGAGUUACAAAAUGGGAAGGGAGAAAAUUGGAUGAAUUAGAGGCAGUGGUGAGAACUCAGGUUUUCAACAAAUAGAGAUGGGUAACAAAAUGAACGUAGAUGUGGAUGUGGACACAUACGUAUCUACAGAUAGACAUUCCCUGGCUCUGUCCACCGAGAGGGUCUGGGAGCAGCCUCACCCCAACAUCAUGGAGACACUUCUGAUUAGAGGUCAAAGGAAAGGUAUGUCCAUAGAGGAGAAACCUCAGAUCCAUCUUCAAAGAAUGUCUUUAGUCUUUACAAGUCAUAAGGACAAAUCAAGCACGUCAAUGAACACUGAAUUUCUACACUCAAAACUUUAUUUUAUAGACCUUAACUUAUUUACAACAUACAAAAAUGAUAGAAAAAUAAAAGUGUGGCUUUGGGUUAAUCCUGGGAUCCAAUUUCAACUCUAACAUUUACUAAUUUUGUGACCCUGGAGAAUCAUUUCAUCUCUCAGAUCCUCAAUUUUCUCAAAUGUAAAAUGAAUAUACCUACCUUUUAGUGUUCUGUGUUAUUAAUCAGAUCAUGCACAUCCCACAGCGCCUGGCAUAAAAUAAAUGCUCAGCAAAGCAUAGCCAUUAGCACAUUUGUGUGUGGUGUAAGUUGGGCAGGUUUUUACUAUUUUGGUUUAACAGGAAAAGAAAGACAUGGGGCAGCAAAGACACAUCAGAGCAGAAAAUAUCAAUUAAUUCAGACAACAAAUGACUUUUAAGUAGGAACUGGACAUGCCCAGAGGGAGGAAGGCAUUCCAGAGAGCUGGGAGGGGAGGAGUAAACUCCCAGGUAGGCAACAGCAGGGGGUGCAUAGGCAGCAUCACUGCCAGGGCUGCCCGGAGCACAGGAGCCAGAAGGAGGUGCGUGGGAAGUGAGGCUGUCAAGAUGAUUUGCUCCAGAUUGUGUAGAGUUUCAAUACAAAGCUAUACUAAGUUUUAUUCUGUAGCAUCAACUCUUGUGUUUAUGAUUUAUAGCCCAUUAGCCCGUACUGUGUCUACAUAUCUCUUAAUCAAGAUUCACCUCUGAUUUAGAGGAGUUACUCAUUAGACGGUGUCCUAGCCAGGAGGCCUCUGCCUGCCCUGGGUUUCUCAGGUGAGCGCUGCUUUUCACUGUUGCUUGAUGAGGAGUAUUUAAGAGUGAGGAGCUAUUGCUAACGUGAAUAAAAGUUUGCUCCCUCAGUUUCCCCAGAGGGUUUCCCCAGAGCGUUUCCCCAGUAGUCCUCAGCAGGGAAGAUCCCGGGGGGCAGCUCCUACAUGGAACUGACACACACGUCUAAAGCACGUGAGAGGAAUGCAGAUUCAGGAAACAACACAUAUCAGGAAAAAUAUGUGGUUUCAAAAAGGUUAAACCUGGAAUUAUUUAAUGAUAAAAAUAUUGAAGUCAGUAACCUCCCUCCCAUUCAAACAACUAAGCAAAUAAAGGACUAUUGUAAAGAGAAUGCAUAUGUCUUGACCAAAAUCUCAGAGAUCUGAGAUUUUGACAGAACUGUGUCCGUGAUGUCGCCUAUGCAGUAGGACUUGAAGGAUACUGCAGGUCCAAGGGCUCCACACUUAAAACUAGCUUCAAUGUUCCCCAUGAGAGACAGGGCUUGUUCCUUCUCCCAGAAGGGUAGGGUGGAGCUGGGCACUGUUUCUCCAUCAGUGUGUCCCGGCACUUGGUUUUCAGGGCUAUUUAUGAUAUCCUACCAUCUUGGGUCUCUAUACUCCACCACUUGGCAAAAUUCUGCACAGGAGGAAGAAGCAGAGGUUGUGGUAACUGUUGUGAGAAAGGAGAAUGGACAGAUUUAACUAGAAAAAAAGUCUGGGUGGAAGAUGUAGAGACUGGACUCAAUGACUGAGAAAAGCAAUGAAAUCACCUUUCCUAGAAACAGCUGAAAAAUACAAUAAACGCUCAUUUGUAAAAGUUAAUGAGUUUGUUAAAAUGAGUUAAUUAAUGCUACGGUAGGCACUAGGGAUAUGGGAAAUAAAACCAAGGGCCUGCCCUCCAGGAGCUCACGGUUCCACAGGAAGGCAGACACACACACAAAGAACUCCCAUGUCCCCACAUCGCAGGGAGGGCCUCUAGCAGAGGUUUAGGGGUGGGGCUGGGGAGGACGAAGCGUCCAACUUCCAGAAGAAGUGAAGGAGAGCCUGAGACCAUGGAGCAGCUGGACCCGGACUGGGAAGAUAAGCCAGGAUCCACCAGCAAUACAACCCUUCACGGUGGGUGACGCAGAGUCGGGGGCUGUGCAAGGAGUUGGGGUCAUCUCAGCCUUGGGGACAACGUUGACAAGUUUGGGUUUACAGAUGUGUGUACACACAUUGAGAAAAAGCUAGAAGGAUAUACACCUAUAACAUGGUACCCCAGUAAAUGUCCACUGGAUUGCUAUCUUCAUAACUAGUAGGCAUGACCCCUAACCAGUCUUCCUGGGCUCAAGCCCCAGCUAUGAGACUUACCAGCUGUGAGCCCUUGGGCAAGUUACUUAACCUCUCUGUGCCUCAAUUUUCUCAUCUGUGAAAAGAAGGUAGAGUAACACCUAUCUGACAGGAUUGUUGUGAAUUAAAGGAACCAAUAUCUAAAAAGUGCUUAGACUACUGCAUGGCACACAGAAAACACAAUAUAAGUGUUUGCGGUUAUCUAUCAACUGGGGAAGUUUUUGUGGGUUUUUUUCCUGAAAGAAGAAGAUUCUUUUGCUGUAAUUAUUGGGGCUUCACCUCCUGUUUGUUUGUGUUCUGGGUGCCUGAGUGCCCAAAGGAGCUUAGAGAAUGAAGGAAACGAGGGAGUGACAUGGUAUCUGUCCCUUCUUGCCAAGCUUGGAGACUCUGAACACAAGCAAUGCCUCUUCAGGACCCAGUGACCCAGUCACCCCGGAGGAUGGGGGCUCUGAAUUCCAACAUUUGGCACCAUUUGUCCUGCUGAACUGCACCCAUUCGCGAGCAAGGUCACAGAUGAGUUUGCUGCAACUCUCUCCACUCUACUGGCAGCACGACGGCAAAGUGAUUCCCGAGGCCCCUGGCCCCAGACCUCAGCCGGGAUUUGUGGAGUGACUGGUUCUUCCUUCCUCCAGCAUUGUUGUUUUGAGUCUCUGUUCAUCUGCCUGCUCAGGCCCAGGGGGGAGCCGAGCGUAUUAUUAACUGAGUGUCAGGCUGUGUGUGUCUGAGCGGCGGUGAGCGCACGUGUCCUACGCCGAUUUCUGGUGCGCGCAGGCGGGGGAGGAAGCAAUUCCAAGCGCAAGUGGCGGCUUGUCCCUUUCGCAGAGUGUGUUGCGCCGAGGUGGCGUUGCGAUCCGUGGUAUGUAGUGCUGGCCUGAAACUCCUGACGACACCGUCCCAAACGUGGUCCACAGUCCUCCCCCGAACGAAGGGAGGUGUUUAAAGGUGUCUCUGAGAAACAGGCGCAACCCAGGCAGCCCGGCUCCAGAACAAUGGGUCCUUUCAGCCGCCCCCUUUAGAUGUAUGGCUCGUCACCAUGACAACCACCCCAUUAUUGAAAGUCAGAGCCGGUCCCUGCCGCAGACGCUCUGCUCCCGGGCGCCCCUCCCCCGCCGGCCCGCCGUAUGGUGUGUGUGGCACUGGCAGCUGUUGUCAAAAGAAGGCACUUCUUUGUCUCCAGGGGAUGAAAGACAUUUGGUUUUCAUCGCCACCCUUUCUCUCCUCCCGACAACUUUUCUCCGCGCACGGCGCCCUGUCCCCAGAAGUGCCCCCUGGAUGCUGGAGCCCGGCGCCGAGUCCCCGCCGUAACUUUGGUAUAAAUUUCCUCUCGGAUUCGCUCUUCUCAGAGCGUUUCUGCCUGUCCCUCAAACUCCUCGAUCCACUAGAAGUCUCACUUUCAACUGUAGUGUCCAAACGAGGGGAAUUCACUUUAGAAAUCCAGGUUUCUCUUUUCAGCUCUGUUCUCGGAGUUCUCGUGCGAGCCUGUGCCCCUCAGACCCAACAGCACCACCUUCCGUAGCGACGAGCUUAUUACCGAGGCUGUCCCCCGGGCGCGCCCAGCUCGGCCACGCCGGUCCCCAGGACGGGGACGAGUGGUCAACUGUCUUAGGGAUCUCGCACUCCAACAGCUGGAUACCUUCUGGCUGAAGAAAAGGGGACACAAUUAUGUAAACAGUAUGACCUGUAUUUCUCUCAGACUUUAAAAGUAUUAUUAAAAUAUUUUUAAAGUUUUGUGUUACAUUUAGUGAAUACCUAGAUAUGAUUUACCUUGUUUUGUCUGUGGAGGAACUUUAUAAAAAUUAAAUUGAAAAACGAGAAAAAGUCUUUGGCUGACCGUAUGUCUGGGAUUUGGUGUUCAAAGAAUAUUGCCCCUCAAACUAUCAUCUGCACCAGGGAUCCUAAAAGUGGAACAGAUGGUGUUUUCGAGACCUGUCUGGAAAUAAAAAAGGUCACAGCGGUGAGCGAAAAAGCAGGAUCAAGGAAGAGGAGAGAUGCCAGGACAGAGAAAUGCAGGAACUUGUACCCACCAGUGUGGAGGGAAGGAGCAAAACUGGCUAGAUUGAGGUACUGUGGAGAUGAACUCGUGCUUUAUGAUUCCGUGGGGGGGAAAGAUAAUCAGAAUAUUCGUAAAAUUUUAUCUAAUACUCAGAAGGGUAGAGACUAGAGGAAGAAAUUUGGGGAUAAGUGUUUCAGAUCUCACUGAGUCUUUCUACUGCUAUUUUUUGGAAUAAAUUAAAAUUUGAAAGGACAUUUUAAAAACUUUGGGAAUGUUGACAGUAUGACAAGUGAAUGGGAAAGGAAGUUCAGCAGGUGACUGAUAAGAAGGCCAUUUUUCUGGUCUUUGAAUUACCAAUUACCAACAAUUACUCUCAGUAAACAGGGAAGCAGCCAAGUCAGGCACACAGAAAACCAGUAUUUGCAGAGCGAACGAAGGUUUGGGGUUUUUUCCCCUGAGAAUAAUUUUUAUCUAAAUAACUAUCUAGAAAAUAAUAAGUAUGUUACUCUGAAAACUUUUCUUUACAAUCCAAGCUCCUUUCUUCCCGAAUACUACUGAAUACAUUUUGGAGGAAGUUCUGUCAACUUUUCUGUGAGAUUUGAUGAAUAUUUCCCCAGUGAUUUCAAACGAGAGUCACAAUGGAGUGUCACAAUUGAAAUUCUAGUUAUUUAACUUAAUGGGUUUUUUAAGUGUUUAAGAUUGUUAUUAACAAGUAAAAGCAAUUUUCCGUCUCUGACAGGAGUACUGGUCGUCAUAUAUAUACAUUGUUUUAUUUUAUUAAAGUUGCACGUGGAACCAGGUAGUGUGUUCUGUGGAGCUCAGGGGCCACCGUGGGGAUUAAGACUGAGGUCAAGUGGACAGAGCUCCAGGACUCUGAUCCCUGUGUCAGCCAGAGCAACUCUGUGCUAUGUGUUUUCAGUGCAAACUUUCAUUUGUCUAAAAGAUUUCACUGCUAAAAAGGAAAAAAAAACAUUAAGCGCACUGUUAGAAG
ensembl:lncRNA